rnacentral:rRNA from 1 species
GACGAACCGUGCGAACGUUGUUCGGAUUCACUGGGCGUAAAGGGCGCGUAGGCGGCAAUUCAAGUCAUCUGUGAAAUCUCCGGGCUUAACUCGGAACGGUCAGAUGAUACUGCUUUGCUAGAGUACAGAAGGGGCAAUCGGAAUUCUUGGUGUAGCGGUGAAAUGCGUAGAUAUCAAGAGGAACACCUGAGGUGAAGACGGGUUGCUGGGCUGAUACUGAUGCUGAGGCGCGAAAGCUAGGGUAGCAAACGGG